rfam:Aedes aegypti strain Liverpool supercont1.271 genomic scaffold, whole genome shotgun sequence.
UAGCUUAGUUGGAAAAGCACUCGUCUAACAUACAAGAGUCCUGGGUUCGAAUUCCAG